ensembl:lncRNA
CGCCUCUGCCGCUCCUGCUCCAGACAAACAACGAUCCACGAUCCACGGAGGUCCCCCAGCCAGCGCGCUUCCCCUCUUCGGCCUGCGGCCUCCUCGUGCAUCUGAUUGGCCGGCCUCGGUCAUGGGCUGCCUCUUGGCUGCGAAGCAGCCUGGGAGAGCUUAGACUUCUCCCUGGAGAGAGCAGGACUCGGAGUGUGGGGAGCUGGCUCGAGGUAGCCAGGGAGACCAGAGCAACCGUCUGUGGGUCCUUCCAGAUACCAUCUACACUUGAGGGUGAAUUACUGCGAGAUGAACGUCGAUUCCCUGUCUGACUGCUCUAACGUUUGUGGAGUUCAAUGCUCAAGGGUAAAUUCUCAAUGCUCGAGGCCCUCCUACAGUUGACUCCUUCCCACGGCUCCCCCAGGAGGCCCUGCGUGCCAAGCAUUCCAGAAAACUCCUGGUACCCCCUUGCCUGGCCUUCUUUAACUGCCUUGGGCUCCUGCUCUUCAGGCCCAGCUCAGGUCUGCCUGCCCCCGAAGCUCCUUUCUCAGACGGAGCCCAGACUGCGAGAGCAAGGGAGGAAAUUCCUGUGAUCCAGAAGAUUAGAAACAGGGUAGGGAGAGCCCCAAGGAGAGGGGUUUGGCUCGGCUGAGCCCCUGAACUGUUACUCUCUGUGCUCUGUGGAGCCACAGCCAUCACAUCACAGGGCUUGUCUCCCAACCCUGUUGAGGAGGGGAGGAAACCCUAUAUCGUGCUGAAUAGAGAGCUCACUCGUUCUGGAGCAAAAUCUGCAAGAGAAACUGGGAUGGAGCUGGAAGAGACAGGGGCCCGACAAACCCAAUUGAGGCAGGAAACCUCAGGGCACCUCAGAGGAACAGGGCAGGGAUGGCUGCCCAGUUGACAUGUCUCUGACUCCUUCAGUGGUGGCCACUCUCAAGGAGAGUCCACUGAACCGUUCUUAAGAAGACAAGGAGAUGAUGGUGAAUGCAGAAGAUGGGCAGGUGGAUGUCCGCCCAGGAGCUCACUGUCCGUUCAUGUCAUUCUCCUUCACUUGCGCAGGCAUCCAGCAAUUCAGGUCCUUGGGCUGGUGUCCCAGGCACUGAGCUCCAGGCUGGGCACAAAAGGGAAGACAGCCCCUGCCCUCCAGGGUCUCGGGGACCCCGGGGAGACACUGGACUAAUCGCAGGAGAACAAGGCACAAGGAGGCACAGAGGAAAUGGUGGCUGAAGCUGGGAAGUGUUUAAAGGAGGCCUAGGUCACAGCAGGAGGAGCACAGAGACAGCUGACCUACAUGAGCCCCCUCUGUGGCUCAUCCAGGAGAACCUCGUUGAGGAGACGCUUUGCAGGAUGGAAGCCUUUUGCAGAUGGAGAGCAAAAUCAGGCUGUGGGCUUUUGCAGGAGGCAAAAUUAUAAUUUGCAUUUCUCUGCGGAGUGAGAACUCUGUAAUUUAGGAUUUUGUCUAAUUGCUGUUUAGAGUUCCAGGGACUCUUUCUCUUCAGGCAGCCAUGUACUGGUUGGAGAGAGGCACUCUGAAUGGCCCUGAAGCUCCGUCCAGCCAUGGGAGCAGACAGGGAGCUGGUCAGUGCUGGAGUUCUGCAUUUUUUUCUGGAGUCCUGAUUUGUCCAGCAGUUGGAGGACAGGGACAGCACUGGCGCUGUGGGGGUUACAAGCACAUAUCUGCAGACAGCAUCUUUGGUCUGUGGCUGCUCCAAUUUCAGCUCCGAGCAGCUGCUAGCCAGAAACGAGGGGACCCCAGAGGCAGGCACAUCCAUGUUCUUCUGCAGCUGGGCUCUCCUUGCACACGUGUGUGAGGCUGCAGCCUCUCUGUUUCUCAUUUGCACUGUGGACAUUUGGAAAGUUACCUACGUCCGUUGAAAAAUUAUUUUUGAGCUUUCCUAAGUGGUGGUAAGAAUGACAAGCAGAUCCCUUGAGUACCUGGGGAGGAAUCAGGCACUACAGGCCCCACUCUCCCUACGAGCCCCACACAGGUUCAAACCCAACCCAAUCCAACCUGCGCUGUCUCCUUCUGUCUGAGUUUGGAGUGUCACCAGCAAUCAAUUUGUUUUUAAAGAAGGGCACAUCAAAAGACAGACAUUAUGGCCAUUUUUAUGGAUCUUGGGCAAACACCUUGGCAGAUGUAAAGCAAGCGUACUUUUCACUCAACUUUUUAUAACUGGCAACUCCUUGUGGUGAUAAGUUAAGGCCUCAGUUGUUAAAGCCACGGGGAGUACUGUUUCCAGGUGGGGCAGUGGCCAAGCUAAGAACAGGACGUUCUCCAACUGUCCUAUCUCCAGGGUCAUGGCCGGAUUCGGAUCCCUUCGCACCUGGCCACACCUUUUAUAAAGGUCAAGCCUGGCCGAAAUGAACAUCCUGGAAGUUUUGAAAGGGACGAAAGCACUUUAGACUUUACUACAACAUAGCACAGGGCUACAUAUAGAACAGAGCGUGUGUAUGUGUGUGUGUGUGCACGCGCACGUGUGUGUAGCGGGGAAGGCACUGUUGACAGGAAAGUAGUCGUGUUGAGAGCCAGCUGUCUCAACAUUGCAAAAUAAUGAUGAGUUACUGUGUCUUGUUUGCUUUCUACAUUAUCUUAUCUUAAUCUUCAAAACAACUCUAAAAUAUUACUAUCCCACUUUCCUAAACGAGGAAACUGAGACUCAGAUAACGUAUUAGUUUGCCAGGGCUGCUGUAACAAAGCACCACAAACUGUGUGGCUUAAACAACUGAAGCUCCUUCUCUCACAGCACUGGAGGCCGGAAGUCUGAAUGCAAGGUGGCAGCAGGGCCGUGCUCCCUCUGAGAUUCUGGAUAGAGUCCGUCCUUGCCUCCUCCUAGCUCCUCAUGGUGUCGGUCGAUCCUUGAGGUUCUUUGACUUGCAGCCACCUCACUCCAACCUCUGCCUCUGUCCCCAAGUGACGCUCUCCCCUCUGUGUGUCUUGGUGUCUGUGUUGUCUUCUCUUCUUAUAAGAACACCAGGCACGUUGGAUGAAGAACAAACCUUCCUCCAGGAAGAGUUUAUCUCAACUUAACUAAUCACAUCUCUAUUUCCAAAUAAGGUCACAUUCCGAGGUACUGGGAGUUAGAUCUUCCACAUACGUUUUUGAGGGAUACAAUUCAACCCAUAAUACAUAUGGAAGUAUCUUGCUUAAGGUAACACUGCCUGCAAAUGCAGAGAACAUUUGAACUCAGAACUGGCUCCCAAACUCUUUUUCUUUCCCAUACACUAAUUUAUGCAAUUGCACUAAUUAAGGUGUGAGAGUCCCUCACAUUUAUUUUAGCUUUGUAUUUUCUUAUCUACAACCCCCUUUGCAGCCCAGUUACUGUCCCUGCAGCGGGAGGAUGAGAAGGAAGAUGAAGGUCAGUGCUGGGAGCUGAGUGAAACUCAAGGACUGUGUCUGUAUCAGAGGUCCAUCAGGAAAACAGAAAUCACGCCAGAUAUUUCAAAUAGAGAGAAUUUAAUAUAGGAAUUUGGUUAUAGAUGUGUCAGAAGGACCGAAGGGAAAAAAAAAGAGAGAGAGACUAUAGUAGGAACAAAAACAGAGACUACAGAGGCCAGCCUGCUGGCAUAGUGGUUAACUUUGUGCGCUCCACUUUGGCAGCCCAGGGUCUAUGGGUUUGGAUCCCAGACACAGACCUACACCACUUACAAAGCCAUGCUGUGGUGGCAUCCCACAUACAAAAUAGAGGAAGAUUGGCACAGAUGUUAGCUCAGGGCCAAUCUUCCUCACACACACACACAAAAGAGACUACAGUAGGAUAUCAUAUGUGGGCAAUGUGGCAGCCUAGGUGUCAGGAGAAACGUCCCUAUAUAACUUUACAAACGUUCAGCAGAGGUAAAGGGAAAGAAAGGGAGAUUGUUAAAGACCUGAAAUGAUGUAAGAGAAAGCCAAAGCAUCUAUUCACCGCACAGGCGUUCUCCAUUCAUGGUCUUCCAGACCUUGGGUUUUAAGAGGCUACGGCCCUGGUGGCAGUGAGUAAAGUUUGGACCACACAAGAUGGAAUGUCAGACAAGACAUACUUAUGAGUGCCUCUCUUGAACUAGAAAAGACCACUGGACAGAGAAACAAUAAGAACACUUGCUUAUCUAAACCUUGGCUCUGAGGGAAGCAAAAAACAAAACCAGAAGUCCCCCAUGAAAAGACUCCUAAAAGAGUCUCCCAUGAAACUUCCUAACCACAAGCCUACACUCAUGUGGUCUGCGGCCAGAAUUCAUGGUUCUCAUGGGGCCCCAAAUCCUAAGCCCCAAAUUUUGUUUCAGAGAGUUCCAGGCUGGUGGCAUCCCAGGUGGCAGGCAGAAGCGCACAGGAAACCUCUCUGGAGGAACACAGUUCAAACCCAGAUUCCCCACAGGUACAGUUCCAGGGAAGAUGAGCUCACACAGAAAUCAGCAAACGCACGAGGAAACAAGUCACUGUAAGUGAGGGGCAACAGAAACCACAGCAGCAGAAUAAGAGUCACAAAGACAGCAGGUGUUGGAAUGACUAGAGACCAAAUAUGAAAGCAAUGUGUUUAAUAUAUUUAAAUAAAUAAAUGUGCAUUAAAAUAUAAUGAAGAAACAAAGAUGAUCAACAAUGACCAGGCCUUAUCUAGGAGGUUUUGAUUACAAUGGGUAAGUGGAAUUUGCCUGUAGACAGCCACUUUGUGUCAGAGAAGCCAGAGUUUCUGGAGGGGGUUGAGCUGAGGACCACUGUAGGGGGCGGGGUGGCCCCUUUGAGUGCUUAGGCAGGUAACAUUACUCUACACAAGGUAUUCCCAAUUGGAACAUGAUUGGAGAGAUGUUGAAAAGAUAGAAUAUUUUUGGGGGGUGGGAGGUGCUUCAUUGUAAAUGGAGAGAGACAGACAGAGCUCCCAGACAGGAAAGGAGGCAUAAUGUGUCACAUGCAGGCAAUAUGGCAGCCUCUCCCCAAAGAGAAGCAGAGCCCAAUCCUUGCUCCUGGCAGUGCUUGGUGAUGGGACAGAACUUCUGAGAAGAUGACUUGUGGGGUAUCUGAUGAAGCUCAGUCUUGGACCCCGGGGCACCCAGACUUGGCAGAGAUUCCUGGCCCAGAAGC